rnacentral:rRNA from 1 species
CCUACGGGAGGCAGCAGUGAGGAAUAUUGGACAAUGGGCGCAAGCCUGAACCAGCCACGCCGCGUGAGGGAAGACGGUCCUAUGGAUUGUAAACCUCUUUUGUCGGGGAGCAAAAGACGCCACGCGUGGCGUUCCGAGCGUCCCCGAAGAAAACACCUCGGCUAACUCCGUGCCAGCAGCCGCGGUAAUACGGAGGAUGCGAGCGUUAUCCGGAUUUAGGGGGUUUAAGGGGUGCGCAGGCGGAAGAUAAAGUCAGCGGUAAAAUUGAGGGGUUAAACCUCGUCGAGCCGUUGAAACUGGUUAUCUUGAGUGAGCGAGAAGUAUGCGGAAUGCGUGGUGUAGCGGUGAAAUGCAUAGAUAUCACGCAGAACUCCGAUUGCGAAGGCAGCAUACCGGCGCUCAACUGACGUUCAUGCACGAAAGUGUGGGUAUCGAACAGGAUUAGAUACCCGAGUAGUC